UCCUUGUUAGCUCAGUCGGUAGAGCGUUCGACUUUUAAUCAGAGAGAUUUUUUAAUUUAGAGUCUYUCAAAAGUUCAAAAGGGUAUCGAAAUGUCAGGGGUUCGAGCCCCCUAUGAGGAG
rnacentral:tRNA from 1 species